AUUGAACGCUGGCGGCAUGCUUUACACAUGCAAGUCGAACGGUAACAGGCCUUCGGGUGCUGACGAGUGGCGCACGGGUGAGUAAUGCAUCGGAACGUGCCCAGAGGUGGGGGAUAACGCAGCGAAAGCUGUGCUAAUACCGCAUGUGAUCUGAGGAUGAAAGCGGGGGACCAGGCAGCAAUGUUUGGCCUCGCGCCUUUGGAGCGGCCGAUGUCAGAUUAGGUAGUUGGUGGGGUAAAGGCCUACCAAGCCGACGAUCUGUAGCUGGUCUGAGAGGACGACCAGCCACACUGCGACUGAGACACGGCCCAGACUCCUACGGGAGGCAGCAGUGGGGAAUUUUGGACAAUGGGCGCAAGCCUGAUCCAGCAAUGCCGCGUGAGGGAAGAAGGCCUUCGGGUUGUAAACCGCUUUUGUACGGAACGAAAAGGCUCUGGCUAAUACCUGGGGCUGAUGACGGUACCGUAAGAAUAAGCACCGGCUAACUACGUG
rnacentral:rRNA from 1 species